rnacentral:rRNA from 1 species
GAUGAACGCUGGCGGCGUGCCUAAUACAUGCAAGUCGAGCGAACGGACGAGAAGCUUGCUUCUCUGAUGUUAGCGGCGGACGGGUGAGUAACACGUGGAUAACCUACCUAUAAGACUGGGAUAACUUCGGGAAACCGGAGCUAAUACCGGAUAAUAUUUUGAACCGCAUGGUUCAAAAGUGAAUGACGGUCUUGCUGUCACUUAUAGAUGUAUCCGCGCUGCAUUAGCUAGUUGGUAAGGUAACGGCUUACCAAGGCAACGAUGCAUAGCCGACCUGAGAGGGUGAUCGGCCACACUGGAACUGAGACACGGUCCAGACUCCUACGGGAGGCAGCAGUAGGGAAUAUUCCGCAAUGGGCGAAAGCCUGACGGAGCAACGCCGCGUGAGUGAUGAAGGACUUCGGAUCGUAAAACUCUGUUAUUAGGGAAGAACAUAUGUGUAAGUAACUGUGCACAUCUUGACGGUACCUAAUCAGAAAGCCACGGCUAACUACGUG